rnacentral:rRNA from 1 species
CACGUAGGAGGCGAGCGUUGUCCGGAAUCAUUGGGCGUAAAGAGCGCGCAGGCGGCUCGAUAAGUCGGUUGUGAAAUCCCAGGGCUCAACCCUGGGACUGCGUCCGAUACUAUCGAGCUAGAGGUAGGUAGGGGAGAUCGGAAUUCCUGGUGUAGCGGUGAAAUGCGCAGAUAUCAGGAGGAACACCGGUGGCGAAGGCGGAUCUCUGGGCCUUACCUGACGCUCAGGCGCGAAAGCUAGGGGAGCGAGCAGG